rnacentral:rRNA from 1 species
UACGGAGGUGGCGAGCGUUGUCCGAAGUUACUGGGCGUAAAGCGCACGUAGGCGGACUCUUAAGUCGGUGGUGAAAUCCUGGAGCUCAACUCCAGAACUGCCUUCGAUACUGAGAGUCUCGAGUCCGGGAGAGGUGAGUGGAACUGCGAGUGUAGAGGUGAAAUUCGUAGAUAUUGGGAAGAACACCGGUGGCGAAGGCGGCGACCUGGUCCUUGACUGACGCUGAGGCGCGAAAGCGUGGGGAGCAAACAGG